GAUGAACGCUGGCGGCGUGCCUAAUACAUGCAAGUCGAGCGAACAGACGAGGAGCUUGCUCCUCUGACGUUAGCGGCGGACGGGUGAGUAACACGUGGAUAACCUACCUAUAAGACUGGGAUAACUUCGGGAAACCGGAGCUAAUACCGGAUAAUAUAUUGCACCGCAUGGUUCAAUAGUGAAAGACGGUUUUGCUGUCACUUAUAGAUGGAUCCGCGCCGCAUUAGCUAGUUGGUAAGGUAACGGCUUACCAAGGCAACGAUGCGUAGCCGACCUGAGAGGGUGAUCGGCCACACUGGAACUGAGACACGGCCCAGACUCCUACGGGAGGCAGCAGUAGGGAAUCUUCCGCAAUGGGCGAAAGCCUGACGGAGCAACGCCGCGUGAGUGAUGAAGGUCUUCGGAUCGUAAAACUCUGUUAUUAGGGAAGAACAAAUGUGUAAGUAACUAUGCACGUCUUGACGGUACCUAAUCAGAAAGCCACGGCUAACUACGUG
rnacentral:rRNA from 1 species